rnacentral:rRNA from 1 species
ACUCCUCGGGAGGCAGCAGUGGGGAAUAUUGGACAAUGGGGGAAACCCUGAUCCAGCCAUGCCGCGUGUGUGAAGAAGGCCUUCGGGUUGUAAAGCACUUUCAGUGGGGAGGAAAGGUUGUUGGGUUAAUACCUAAACAGCUGUGACGUUUACCCACAGAAGAAGCACCGGCUAAACUCCGUGCCAGCANCCGCGGUAAUACGGAGGGUGCAAGCGUUAAUCGGAAUUACUGGGCGUAAAGCGUGCGCAGGCGGUCUGUUAAGCGAGAUGUGAAAGCCCCGGGCUCAACCUGGGAACUGCAUUUCGAACUGGCAGACUAGAGUCUUGUAGAGGGGGUAGAAUUCCAGGUGUAGCGGUGAAAUGCGUAGAGAUCUGGAGGAAUACCGGUGGCGAAGGCGG